rnacentral:misc_RNA from 1 species
GUUCCGUAGGUGAACCUGCGGAAGGAUCAUUAUUGUAUAACCGAGGUGCGAGGGCUGUCGCUGACCCGAAAGGUCGUGCACGCCCGAGUGCCCUCACACGCAUCCAUCUCACCCCUAUGUGCACCACCGCGUGGGCCCCCCCUUUGGCUUGUUCGGAGGGGGGCUUACGUUUUCACACAAACUUUGUAUGCAGUGUAGAAUGUAUUUUUUGUUUUUGCGAUCACGCAAUCAAUACAACUUUCAACAACGGAUCUCUUGGCUCUC